CAAAACAUACAGAGAAGAAAAUGGUUUCCAAAAGAAAUGUAACCAUAGCUCUAUUGUUAGUUAUCAUGCUUCUCAUUUCCUCAGAGGUUGCAGAUUCUAGAGAACUGGUUGAGACGUCCCAUAAAGUAGCAUCAAAGGAAAAUGCAGAGAUAGAUCAAGAUGGAUACGACUGUCCCUAUGGUUGCUGUGGUACACAGAGCUUAUAUUGCCGAUGCUGCCGUUAACCAUAUCAAGAAAACUAGACUUACUCCCUCCAUCCGCGAUUUAAAGUCUCAUUUUGACUCAGUAAAAUUUUUUAGAAAUUAUUUGAUUUUCUGCAGAAAAAUAUAGUGACGUUUGAUCUAUUUUAUAUAUUAAUUUUAUAAUAGAAUGUAAUAUUACUAAGUAUUAUUUACGAAAGUGUACGUAAAGUCUAUUUAACAGACAUGCUAAAAUGGCAAACUAAGUAUAUUA